GACGAACGCUGGCGGCGUGCCUAACACAUGCAAGUCGAGCGGGGUUGAAGCGAGGGGUAACUCGAACUUCUACCUAGCGGCGGACGGGUGAGUAACGCGUGGGCAACCUGCCUCAAGGAUCGGGAUAACAGCUCGAAAGGGCUGCUAAUACCGGAUAUGCCUAUGGCCUCGCAUGGGGCUGUGGGCAAAGGGGAAACCCGCCUUGAGAUGGGCCCGCGUCCCAUCAGCUAGUUGGUGAGGUGAAGGCUCACCAAGGCGACGACGGGUAGCCGGCCUGAGAGGGUGACCGGCCACACUGGGACUGAGACACGGCCCAGACUCCUACGGGGGGCAGCAGUGGGGGAUCUUGCACAAUGGGCGAAAGCCUGAUGCAGCGACGCCGCGUGAGCGAAGAAGGCCUCGGUUGUAAGCUCUGUCUGGAGGGACGGAAGAAAGUAGACGGUACCUCCGGACGGAAGACCGACGGCGUAACUACGUGCCAGCAGCCGCGGUAAAGUACACGUCG
rnacentral:rRNA from 1 species